GUAAUAAUUAAGCUAUUAUAUUUUUAAACCCCACUUAUUGCCAGCUUAUUAUAUUUCUAGUAAUAAGGCAUAAACGUGACAUAAGAGUGUUUAUUCAAUAUUAGUCACUACCGAAACAACCCCCUUAAAAACAAAAGAAAAAAAGAAAACCACAAAAGAAAAGAAUAAUGUGAGUAUUAUAUAGUAACCGACACCUUGGGAGGCCCCGCUAUGUAAGAAGUAAGAACAUGAAGGGUGAAGCUAUGCUGUCUUAUUCAUGAAAUAAAUAAUCCAACAACUAUUUUAUUUUUCAUUAAUACAGUGCUAUUUGUCACCAUAAGUAUAGAUUUCCGUGAAAUAACCCUCUAACAGCUUCCCUAAUGAAAAAUAAUACAAACUGCCCCCAUCGACACACCAAGCAAAACUCCAUUUUAAGUCCUUGUUUUCUAAUGUUCAGCUCAGAGGCCCUUGUUUUUUUAUUUUUUUUCUUUUAAGUGUCUACUAAGAGGUCCAUUUCAUAGUUGGUUGUAGGAAGAAAGUUGUAAAAUGGAGUUGAAUUUGGAUUAGUUCAUUAAAAUGCAGUAUACUAUUUCUCGCUGGCAUUUUGCCUCAUGCAAAUCUCUAUUUGUUUAGGUCACCGUUAUUUGUUUCAUUGAUUCCUAGCUUGGCUUUAUUCUGCUUCUAUUUGUUUAUAGUGACUUGUUCUCAAUUCUACAGAAUUUGGAUCAGCGUUUUAAUCAUGAGAUUGUGCUUUUGACUCAUUUUUUUCUCUUUUGGGUAUGUCACAAUGUUGUGGUGUUCUAAUACUUGUUAUGUUAUCUGCUUUUGCAAUGAAUCAACAACAACUGCCAGCACUCUUGUGGCUUAGAGCGAGUUGUUCAAUUCGAUGAUAGUGUCAAGUUCUACUCUCAGUGUACUUUUUGAUAAGCAGACCUAGUUCUUUUCCUAUAUUUAUGAUGAUGUUGAUCUGCUGAUAAUUUGCUUCUACAGUUUUGAAUGUUGAUUAUUACUUAAUUUAUUUGAGCCUCUAGGGAAUGCACACUUGGUUUGACUUGUUUUGAUCGUUUUUAGGUUUAAGAGAUUGACAGGUCGGAAUGAAGUAGCUAUCUCAGCUGAUGACUACAAAUUUUAUUCUCCAAGACACAAGUUUCGGCAUGCAGCAUCAAUUUCACUUUUCAAUAUCACUGAUAUCCCUGUUAAGUAUGAUGUGGGAGUGCUCAACUUCAACAGGGUCACGGCUUCUGUCGGCAAAAAAAAAGGGAAGGAAAAGGCACCAAACACUUUGCAACUGAGAAACAAUGAAGAGAGCAACUGAAUGGCAAAUACAAAAUCCUGAGGAGUCUUAUCCCAAGCCCCACAAAAAUGGAUAGAGCCUCUGUGGUGGGUGAUGUCAUUGAAUACAUAAGGGAGCUACUCAGAAUAGUUAAUGAGCUCAAAUUACUGUUGGAGAAGAAAAGAUAUUAAAGGGAGAGAUGCAAAAGGUAGAAAGCGAAAGAUGAUGCUACAGAGAGCUGUAACAUAAAGUCUUUCAGCAAUCCAGAUGGAUGCAUAAGGACCUCAUGGCUUCAAAGGAAAUCGAAAGAUAGCGAGGUUGAUGUGCGGAUUGUUGAUGAUGAUGUUACAAUCAAACUCUUCCAGAGGAAGAAGAUUAACUGUCUGCUUUCAGUCGCCAAGUUUCUGGAUGAACUUCAGUUGAAACUUCACCAUGUUGCAGGUGGACAUGUUGGCAAAUAUUACAGUUUCUUGUUCAAUAGCAAGAUAAUAGAAGGUUCUUCAGUCUAUGCCAGUGCUAUAGCCAACUGUGUGAUCGAUGUUAUGGACACUCAGUAUGCAGCAGCAGUUCCACAUACAGGUAGCUAUUAGGUUAAGGGGAUAAUAGUUUCAAGUUUAGGCACUGCACCAAAGUUCAAGUAACUAGUUACAUGUACGAAAAUAAGAAAAGAGAACUGUCUUUAUUGCAAAUUAUGAUCCGUCGAGGUUAUUGAGUAACCUAAGCAGUCUCUAUGCUAAUACUUCUCAAAGUAUUAGUUAGUGGGUAUGAUUUGCUUAAUUAUUUGUAUAGAAAUUAUUACUUUUGAUUUUUAAUACUAAAAACCAUAUAUUAUGUUUGAUA